rnacentral:rRNA from 1 species
CCAAUAGCGUAUAUUAAAGUUGUUGCAGUUAAAAAGCUCGUAGUUGAAUUUCGGGGUCAGUAGAUUGGUCGUGCCUCUGGUAUGUACUGGUCUCACUGAUUCCUCCUUCCUGAUGAACCGUAAUGCCAUUAAUUUGGUGUUGCGGGGAGACUGGACUGUUACUUUGAAAAAAUUAGAGUGUUUAAAGCAAGCUAACGCUUGAAUACAUUAGCAUGGAAUAAUGAAAUAGGACGUUCGAUCCUAUUUUGCUGGUUUCUAGGAUUGACGUAAUGAUUAAUAGGGAUAGUUGGGGGCAUUAGUAUUCAAUUGUCAGAGGUGAAAUUCUUGGAUUUAUUGAAGACUAACUACUGCGAAAGCAUUUGCCAAGGAUGUUUUCAUUAAUCAAGAACGAAAGUUAGGGGAUCGAAGACGAUCAGAUACCGUCGUAGUCUUAACCAUAAACUAUGCCGACUAGGGAUCGGAUGAUGUUAAUUUUUUAAUGACUCAUUCGGCGCCUUACG